GAAAGCAGGCGAGGUGAUCGCAAUCGGUGCGGUGCGUCUUCCGGGCCAGCGCCGCGGCCGAUUGAGGAAAGUCCGGGCUCCCCAAUGGCCAGGCCUGCUGGGUAACGCCCAGUGCGGGUGACCGUGAGGACAGUGCCACAGAAACACACCGCCGAUGGCCCGGGCUUGCUCGGCGCACAGGCAAGGGUGCAAAGGUGCGGUAAGAGCGCACCAGCGGCAUCGAGAGGUGCCGGCUCGGUAAACCCCGGCUGGGAGCAAGGCCCAGGGACAGCGGUUGGCCAUCUUCCCCGUCCCGAUUCCCAUGCGCCGCUUGAGGCCGCCGGUGACGGCGGUCCCAGACAGAUGAUCACCCCCCCUGCCGCCGGCAGGGGAGAACAGAACCCGGCUUACGUCCUGCUUUCCCCC
rnacentral:RNase_P_RNA from 1 species